UACGGGGGGGGCAAGCGUUGUUCGGAAUUACUGGGCGUAAAGGGCUCGUAGGCGGCCAACUAAGUCAUACGUGAAAUCCCUCGGCUUAACCGGGGAACUGCGUCUGAUACUGGAUGGCUUGAGUUCGGGAGAGGGAUGCGGAAUUCCAGGUGUAGCGGUGAAAUGCGUAGAUAUCUGGAGGAAUACCGGUGGCGAAGGCGGCAUCCUGGACCGAGAUUGACACUGAGGAGCGAAAGCCAGGGGAGCAAACGGG
rnacentral:rRNA from 1 species